rnacentral:rRNA from 1 species
AAAUUGAAGAGUUUGAUCAUGGCUCAGAUUGAACGCUGGCGGCAGGCCUAACACAUGCAAGUCGAGCGGAAACGAGUUAUCUGAACCUUCGGGGAACGAUAACGGCGUCGAGCGGCGGACGGGUGAGUAAUGCCUAGGAAAUUGCCCUGAUGUGGGGGAUAACCAUUGGAAACGAUGGCUAAUACCGCAUGAUGCCUACGGGCCAAAGAGGGGGACCUUCGGGCCUCUCGCGUCAGGAUAUGCCUAGGUGGGAUUAGCUAGUUGGUGAGGUAAGGGCUCACCAAGGCAACGAUCCCUAGCUGGUCUGAGAGGAUGAUCAGCCACACUGGAACUGAGACACGGUCCAGACUCCUACGGGAGGCAGCAGUGGGGAAUAUUGCACAAUGGGCGCAAGCCUGAUGCAGCCAUGCCGCGUGUGUGAAGAAGGCCUUCGGGUUGUAAAGCACUUUCAGUCGUGAGGAAGGUGGUGUAGUUAAUAGCUGCAUUAUUUGACGUUAGCGACAGAAGAAGCACCGGCUAACUCCGUGCCAGCAGCCGCGGUAAUACGGAGGGUGCGAGCGUUAAUCGGAAUUACUGGGCGUAAAGCGCAUGCAGGUGGUUUGUUAAGUCAGAUGUGAAAGCCCGGGGCUCAACCUCGGAAUAGCAUUUGAAACUGGCAGACUAGAGUACUGUAGAGGGGGGUAGAAUUUCAGGUGUAGCGGUGAAAUGCGUAGAGAUCUGAAGGAAUACCGGUGGCGAAGGCGGCCCCCUGGACAGAUACUGACACUCAGAUGCGAAAGCGUGGGGAGCAAACAGGAUUAGAUACCCUGGUAGUCCACGCCGUAAACGAUGUCUACUUGGAGGUUGUGGCCUUGAGCCGUGGCUUUCGGAGCUAACGCGUUAAGUAGACCGCCUGGGGAGUACGGUCGCAAGAUUAAAACUCAAAUGAAUUGACGGGGGCCCGCACAAGCGGUGGAGCAUGUGGUUUAAUUCGAUGCAACGCGAAGAACCUUACCUACUCUUGACAUCCAGAGAACUUUCCAGAGAUGGAUUGGUGCCUUCGGGAACUCUGAGACAGGUGCUGCAUGGCUGUCGUCAGCUCGUGUUGUGAAAUGUUGGGUUAAGUCCCGCAACGAGCGCAACCCUUAUCCUUGUUUGCCAGCGAGUAAUGUCGGGAACUCCAGGGAGACUGCCGGUGAUAAACCGGAGGAAGGUGGGGACGACGUCAAGUCAUCAUGGCCCUUACGAGUAGGGCUACACACGUGCUACAAUGGCGCAUACAGAGGGCGGCCAACUUGCGAAAGUGAGCGAAUCCCAAAAAGUGCGUCGUAGUCCGGAUUGGAGUCUGCAACUCGACUCCAUGAAGUCGGAAUCGCUAGUAAUCGUGGAUCAGAAUGCCACGGUGAAUACGUUCCCGGGCCUUGUACACACCGCCCGUCACACCAUGGGAGUGGGCUGCAAAAGAAGUAGGUAGUUUAACCUUCGGGAGGACGCUUACCACUUUGUGGUUCAUGACUGGGGUGAAGUCGUAACAAGGUAGCGCUAGGGGAACCUGGCGCUGGAUCACCUCCUUAUACGAUGAU